rnacentral:rRNA from 1 species
AAUGAACGUUGGCUGCUUGGAUUAGGCAUGCAAGUCGAGCGAGAAGGGUUUUGAAGCUUGCUAUGAAACACGGAAAGCGGCGCAAGGGAGAGUAACGAGUAGUUACUUACCCCAAGGCCCGGAAUAGCUGCGGGAAACUGCAGGUAAUGCCGGAUAGUAUCCCCGGCUCAACGGUGUGAUUCGGCCUUGGGAGGAGACUGCGUUGUACUAGCUAGUUGGUAGGGUAAUGGCCUACCAAGACUACGAUGCAUAGCGGGCGUGAGAGCGUGGCCCGUCUCACUGGGACUGAAACACUGCCCAGACACCUACGGGUGGCUGCAGUCGAGAAUCUUCGGCAAUGGGCAAAAGCCUGACCGAGCGAUGCCGCGUGCGGGAUGAAGGCCCUCGGGUUGUAAACCGCUGUCGUAGAGGAGAAAGGUCUGAUGAAGAAUCAGAUUUGAUCUAUUCUAGGAGGAAGUCCGGGCUAAGUUCGUGC